rnacentral:rRNA from 1 species
UACAUGCAAGUAGAACGCUGAAGAGAGGAGCUUGCUCUUCUUGGAUGAGUUGCGAACGGGUGAGUAACGCGUAGGUAACCUGCCUUGUAGCGGGGGAUAACUAUUGGAAACGAUAGCUAAUACCGCAUAACAAUGGAUGACACAUGUCAUUUAUUUGAAAGGGGCAAUUGCUCCACUACAAGAUGGACCUGCGUUGUAUUAGCUAGUAGGUGAGGUAAUGGCUCACCUAGGCGACGAUACAUAGCCGACCUGAGAGGGUGAUCGGCCACACUGGGACUGAGACACGGCCCAGACUCCUACGGGAGGCAGCAGUAGGGAAUCUUCGGCAAUGGGGGCAACCCUGACCGAGCAACGCCGCGUGAGUGAAGAAGGUUUUCGGAUCGUAAAGCUCUGUUGUAAGUCAAGAACGGGUGUGAGAGUGGAAAGUUCACACUGUGACGGUAGCUUACCAGAAAGGGACGGCUAACUACGUGCCAGCAGCCGCGGUAAUACGUAGGUCCCGAGCGUUGUCCGGAUUUAUUGGGCGUAAAGCGAGCGCAGGCGGUUUGAUAAGUCUGAAGUUAAAGGCUGUGGCUCAACCAUAGUUCGCUUUGGAAACUGUCAAACUUGAGUGCAGAAGGGGAGAGUGGAAUUCCAUGUGUAGCGGUGAAAUGCGUAGAUAUAUGGAGGAACACCGGUGGCGAAAGCGGCUCUCUGGUCUGUAACUGACGCUGAGGCUCGAAAGCGUGGGGAGCGAACAGGAUUAGAUACCCUGGUAGUCCACGCCGUAAACGAUGAGUGCUAGGUGUUGGAUCCUUUCCGGGAUUCAGUGCCGCAGCUAACGCAUUAAGCACUCCGCCUGGGGAGUACGACCGCAAGGUUGAAACUCAAAGGAAUUGACGGGGGCCCGCACAAGCGGUGGAGCAUGUGGUUUAAUUCGAAGCAACGCGAAGAACCUUACCAGGUCUUGACAUCCCGAUGCUAUUUCUAGAGAUAGAAAGUUACUUCGGUACAUCGGUGACAGGUGGUGCAUGGUUGUCGUCAGCUCGUGUCGUGAGAUGUUGGGUUAAGUCCCGCAACGAGCGCAACCCCUAUUGUUAGUUGCCAUCAUUCAGUUGGGCACUCUAGCGAGACUGCCGGUAAUAAACCGGAGGAAGGUGGGGAUGACGUCAAAUCAUCAUGCCCCUUAUGACCUGGGCUACACACGUGCUACAAUGGUUGGUACAACGAGUUGCGAGUCGGUGACGGCGAGCUAAUCUCUUAAAGCCAAUCUCAGUUCGGAUUGUAGGCUGCAACUCGCCUACAUGAAGUCGGAAUCGCUAGUAAUCGCGGAUCAGCACGCCGCGGUGAAUACGUUCCCGGGCCUUGUACACACCGCCCGUCACACCACGAGAGUUUGUAACACCCGAAGUCGGUGAGGUAACCUUUUGGAGCCAGCCGCCUAAGGUG